GACGAACGCUGGCGGCGUGCCUAAUACAUGCAAGUCGAGCGGACAGAUGGGAGCUUGCUCCCUGAUGUUAGCGGCGGACGGGUGAGUAACACGUGGGUAACCUGCCUGUAAGACUGGGAUAACUCCGGGAAACCGGGGCUAAUACCGGAUGGUUGUUUGAACCGCAUGGUUCAAACAUAAAAGGUGGCUUCGGCUACCACUUACAGAUGGACCCGCGGCGCAUUAGCUAGUUGGUGAGGUAAUGGCUCACCAAGGCAACGAUGCGUAGCCGACCUGAGAGGGUGAUCGGCCACACUGGGACUGAGACACGGCCCAGACUCCUACGGGAGGCAGCAGUAGGGAAUCUUCCGCAAUGGACGAAAGUCUGACGGAGCAACGCCGCGUGAGUGAUGAAGGUUUUCGGAUCGUAAAGCUCUGUUGUUAGGGAAGAACAAGUACCGUUCGAAUAGGGCGGCACCUUGACGGUACUUAACCAGAAAGCCACGGCUAACUACGUGCCAGCAGCCGCGGUAAUACGUAGGUGGCAAGCGUUGUCCGGAAUUAUUGGGCG
rnacentral:rRNA from 1 species